GGAAGACUUGAUUUAAUCAUGGAUUUCUACAUAAAAGUGCAUUCUUGAAUAUGCUGCUCAAACAGUUUCACUUUUGUUUCUACUGCCUGUCCCUCCCUUCUCACAUUUAUCUCCAGACUUCUUCUCCUUGUGUGGAUCUAUUCUGUCCCCAGCAAUCUUCUAUUCAUUGAACUUUUUGAAACUUUGCACUUUUAGAGAGAGAUAAGGGAUUGACUCUGUGUACACAGAUUUGCAGCGUGACAAUAGGGUUGAGGCCAGUUAUUUCUCACCUCAAUAUAUUUAUUU